CAUAUAUCAUCUUCAUAUAAAACAUUUAUUUAUUAAUAAUAUUCAAUAAAAAUAAUUUAAUUAAAAUACCCGAUCCUUUCGUACUAAAAUAUUUAAUUUAUUAAAAGAUAGAAACCAACCUGGCUUACACCGGUUUGAACUCAGAUCAUGUAAGAUUUUAAUGAUCGAACAGAUCAAAAAUUUUAAACUUUUGCAUUUAAAUUUUAUCUUAAUCCAACAUCGAGGUCGCAAACUCUUUUUCUUAUAUGAACUAAAAAAAAAAAUUACGCUGUUAUCCCUAAGGUAAUUUAUUCUUAUAAUCAAUAAAAUUGGAUCAUAUAAUCACUUAUUUAUGUAUAAAUUCAAAAAAAGUUUAAUUAAUUUUCCUAUCACCCCAACAAAACAAUUAACAAAAUUUCAAUUAAUAUAUCUUUAUAAAUAAUUUUAAUUUUUUAAAUUAUAAAACUCUAUAGGGUCUUCUCGUCUUUUUAAAUUAUUUUAACUUUUUAAUUAAAAAAUUAAAUUCAAUAAACUAAUAUAAAGACAGCUUAUAUUUCAUCCAAUCCUUCAUACAAGUCACCAAUUAAGAGACUAAUGAUUAUGCUACCUUUGUACAGUCAAAAUACUGCAGCCCUUCAAUAUUUUAAUCAGUGGGCAGAUUAGACUUUAAAUUAAACCCAAAAAGACAUGUUUUUGAUAAACAAGUGAAUAUAAAAAUUUGCCGAAUUCCUUUAAACUAAUUAGUAUAAAAUCUUAUAUUAUAAAAAAAAUUUUAUUUAUAUACUAAUUUUAUCAUUUUAUUUAAAUUUAUAAAAUUAAAAAAUUAUUUUUUAUAAAAAAUUAAAUUAAAUAAAAUUUUUAAUUUAAAUGAAAUUAUUUAUAAUUAAAUUAAAAUUUAUUAACAAUAUAAAUUAUAAAAUUUUCAAUCUAUAAAAAUAAAUUAAUUAUAAAAAUUUAAUUUAAAGCUUAUCCCCUAAAAUAUUAAAUUUAAUUUUAAAUUUAAUUAAUUAAUUAAUUAAAUUUAAAAUUAAAUAAAAAAUUAAAUUUUUUUCUAAAAAAACCAGAUAUAUUUAAAAACGAUUAACAUUUCAUUUCAAAUUAAUUAUUAAAAAUAUUUAUGCCACAAUAACUUUUAUAAUUAAUUAUCUCUUUUAAAUUCGAGAAAUUUAUUACUAAAUAAAAAAUUAUUAAUAAACUCUGAUACACAAGAUACAAUAAAUAAAAUUUACUUUUAAAUAAAUUAAAUUUUCAAAUAUAUUUCAAAAUUCUUUUACAAUACUAAUUAACUAUAAAUUUUUAAAUUUUUUCUAUUAAAAAUACUUUAACCCCCAUUAAAUAUUUUAAUAUUAAAAUUUAUUUUAUUAUAAAUUAACUUAUUGAUUUUUCCCC
rnacentral:rRNA from 1 species